CCUACGGGUCGCAGCAGUGGGGAAUAUUGGACAAUGGGCGAAAGCCUGAUCCAGCCAUGCCGCGUGUGUGAAGAAGGCCUUCGGGUUGUAAAGCACUUUCAGUGGGGAAGAAAGCCUUGGGGCUAAUACCCUCGAGGAAGGACAUCACCCACAGAAGAAGCACCGGCUAACUCCGUGCCAGCAGCCGCGGUAAUACGGAGGGUGCGAGCGUUAAUCGGAAUUACUGGGCGUAAAGCGCGCGUAGGCGGUCUGAUAAGCCGGUUGUGAAAGCCCCGGGCUCAACCUGGGAACGGCAUCCGGAACUGUCAGGCUAGAGUGCAGGAGAGGAAGGUAGAAUUCCCGGUGUAGCGGUGAAAUGCGUAGAGAUCGGGAGGAAUACCAGUGGCGAAGGCGGCCUUCUGGACUGACACUGACGCUGAGGUGCGAAAGCGUGGGUAGCAAACAGGAUUAGAUACCCAAGUAGUC
rnacentral:rRNA from 1 species